rnacentral:lncRNA from 1 species
UCUAAAGUCAGGAUGUAUAGACUUCGUAGGUUUUUAACUUGUGGAUGCGUAUUUAAGACUCGUCCAAAAAGAUCAACUGUGGCUGGCAUCAUGGUAGUUUGUCUUUUGCAGGUUCUUGGUUUAGGAGUUUAUUAUUAUAACCAAUUAGGCAGAUAUUAUGUUAAGGUAAAGGUAUUAAUUAUGUAAUGUACGUACAAGGCCGGAUCAAAGAGCAUGAUACGACCUUGGCUAGCUAUUCUUAAUGCUCUCCCAACACUAUGAAGUAUACUAUCAUGUAUUCUAUUUACGGUAAAACAUUAAUUGUUCGAACUUGAAUGUCCCGCCGCAUAACAAUGCUGGCAACUCUCAUCAACUCGCAUCAUCGUUCGACUGGGGGGGAGGGGGUUAAUAUAUUUUUAAUAUAAUGUGUAUUGUUCUUUGUUCCGGCUUCGAAUUCAUCACUACAACUGACGACUCUAUUCCAGAGCUCUCAUCGGGGGAAUAUCAUAUACCACAUUAUACAGGAGUAUAAUAUAUUCAUAAGGGAAUAUCUUAGAUAUUAAUUUCAUAGUACCAUGCAUGUCAGUCCUAUUUCCUGAAUAUGCCUGUUCGGCUGUUCAUGAACAAAGCCAGUGCAUGUGGUGUUCGUUUAACAUUAAGGCUUGAUUCCACGGGCGCUUUUUCUGCGAAAUGAAAAAAUUUCGCGCGAAAUUAAUUAGCGGCAUGCGCAGUAAAGAUAUUAAAAAUUAGGCUUCGCGAGAAAAUAUUCCGUUUCGCCAGUGAGUAGAAGUCCUUUCUACUCACUGCGAAAGCGAAAAAAGGUGGGAAAUUGAAUAGAACCACUCAAGUGCAGCCAUCCAUAUUUCGGCAGACACAAUUUCGCGCGAAGAAUUUCGCCUUCGUGGAAUCAGGCAUUUAGGUUCUUGAAUUUGAUUCCUACUUUCCAAAGUAUAGUAUAUAUAUAGGUUAUAGAUCCAUCAACAACUCAUUAAGUUGUUCUUUGUCCUUAGGAUUGAGUUCGUAUUGUACUCAACCGAACGCGGCAGAACUCGGCCAUAUGGUGUCGGAUAAUAUCUCUGGGAUAAUAUAAUAAAAAUUAUCCCAAUUACUAAAUAAACACUGCGACUUAUUUUUGUAAAUUAUUAGUAUUGCUGCAGACUCCUGUAGCAGCUAGACGGCUUGUUAAAACUAUAGUUCAAACUGAAUUGAAUUGACUGAAUAAGGUUCUGGUAUAGUGCAAUGAAGACAAAGAAAAGUGCUGCCGUUGGAAGUCUCGAUAUUACUUUCAAAAACUGAAAAAUCGCACCGCGUUGUCGAAUCGCAUCCGGUGCAUGUGUUUCGACCUUAAUGAUGAAACCGAAAGGAUGUAUUUGCACGUGUUCCUGAAAUGUUGAAAUGUUAAAAGCAGAAAGUUACGUCAGGAUUACUAACUGUUAGACAACUGAAUCAAGACAGCCAAACUCGAAGUUCAUUAGUUUGUACAUGUAACUACAGAGUACAAUGUGUCUCAAAAAAAAGUGAACCCUAAUUCAGUGCUUCCAUUUUAAAAAUCAAAAUUUCUCAUUUUUAUCAUCAAAAUUUCCAUAAAUUCCUUAGAUUGUAUACAUAAUUUCCUUGAAAAUUCCUUGAAAUUUCAUUAGGCGGUUUGCAGUGCUUUUGUAGCGAUACAAAGGAUUUAAUCAAUGUUAAAGGCAGAAAAUAGCACAAUUAACAAAGAUGAUUGCUAGCUAAAAAACCACAGGCUAUUACACUGUUUAAAAUUAAAUAUUUGUUAUGCUUUUACAACAUAUACCUUCCCAUUGAUAUAAAUAAUUAAUUAUUCACAGCGUUUGGCGCCAAAAGUUACUAAAUCCCACCGCUCAAAAACUUUCGAAAGUUUUCGGAAACACGAGGAAAAGUUAAAAACAGAUUUUUAAUUAAACAUAAUUGAUAAUUCACUCAAAAAGUCAAGAAAUAGUGAAACUUUCGUCUGCACUAAUGCACUUGGAUGAAUAUUUAAGUUGUUCGGAAAAAAUCCUUAGAUUUCCUUAGAUUUUUUCUCUUCCUUGGAUUUUCCUUUUCGACACUAGAAUUUCCUUAGAAAAGGAAAUUUCCUUGAAAAUGGAAGCACUGCCCUAAUUUCAAAUUCAAAUUAGCUAUAAUGUAUUGUAGUAAUUUGACAGCUCUAAUUGCCUUGAAUUAAUUGUUGGGUAAGAACACAAGGUCUUGUACUCAUGGGACAAAACUCAAACAGAUAAAAAUUAGUGAAAAUUUAAAAGUUUUUAAGAGUUUUGUCCCAUGAGUACAAGACCUUGUGUUCUUACCCAACCAUAGCAAUUAGAGCUGUCAAAGUUACUACAAUAUGUUAUAGCUAAUUUGAAUUUGAAAGGGGGCAUCAUCUUACAUCAGAGGGCCCUCACAUAGCAAGUGCCACGUCAAGUGAACUCAUGUUUAAUGAUGGGAGGGGGGUCUGAAAAUCAGUAAACGGUAAAAAUUUUGGUGUUUUAACGGUAACAGUAAGUGACAUUUUGGUAUUUUAACGGUAAAUCUUUGAAAAGUGUUCAGAAACGAUAAACAGUAUUUUUUUCCUCACGAUUCACGCUAAAUUUUUAGUGUUUUCACGACUGACAGUAACCGAAAUUGAGUGAAUGACGACUCAUGAAGUUUGGGGACUUUACCAAAUGACCGCUUAAUAACAGGUUCGACUGAAUUGCUAUAAACCUUUUUGCGUGGGGUGUAAAACUGCUGCUGUAAAGGUGGAGUAAUGCGGGCAUUGCUGCAACUUGCAACAAAAUCUGAUUUCAACACAUUUUAAUUGACCAUUUGCGUAAUAGACAAAAUUUUGAUCUAAACAAGUCUAGACAAAAAUUUCAUCACAGCUUGAAAGAGCAUCACAAAAUUAGU